GGCAUGGCGACGGCCCAAUCCAGCAAAUGCACAACCAUAAUCAAGAACGUGCCAUUAUGCAUCAGACGCCGCUCACUCUGCUGCUUAGAUAUAAGUAUAAUCAAACUGGCGAUACGCCCGAAAUGCUUGUGCGAGGCUAUCAAUAGCGACAAAAGCGAAAUUGCAUAUGUGAGGAUCACACUCGGCAAAUGCGACAUCCCACUCCCCUCUCCCGGCCUAUGCGAGAGCAUGCGCGAGAGCGAGACUCUUGCACCAGCACCAGCACCAGCACCAGAACUAGCACCACCGGCCGAUUCUUCCGAAGUCGACGACUAAGGGGAUCUAACAUGCAAGGACCAACUUCAAUUCAACUUAAUUAUAAGUUUGGGUGUGCUGUUAAUUUACACUUGCCUUCUUUUCCAUGCCUUGAUUUCAUCUAUACAUAUCUUGCCUUGUAUUGUUUGUGUGAUUUUUAUGUUUAUUCUCAUUUUGUUGUACCACACUAUUUUGCUACUUUCUUCUCUUGCUAAUAAAACUUUUUCAUUUUGUUGUG